rnacentral:rRNA from 1 species
CCUACGGGUGGCAGCAGUGAGGAAUAUUGGUCAAUGGUCGGGAGACUGAACCAGCCAAGCCGCGUGAGGGAGGAAGGUACAGAGUAUCGUAAACCUCUUUUGUCAGGGAACAAAGACUGGGAAGCGUCCCCGGAUGAGUGUACCUGAAGAAAAAGCAUCGGCUAACUCCGUGCAAGCAGCCGCGGUAAUACGGGGGAUGCGAGUGUUAUCCGGAUUUAUUGGGUUUAAAGGGUGCGCAGGCGGUCUGUUAAGUCAGCGGUAAAAGACCGGGGCUCAACCCCGGCCCGCCGUUGAUACUGGCAAACUAGAGGUGGAGAGAAGGAAGCGGAAUGCGAGGUGAAGCGGUGAAAUGCAUAGAUA